AUUGAACGCUGGCGGCAGGCCUAACACAUGCAAGUCGAGCGGUAACACAGGGAGCUUGCUCCCGGGUGACGAGCGGCGGACGGGUGAGUAAUGUCUGGGAAACUGCCUGAUGGAGGGGGAUAACUACUGGAAACGGUAGCUAAUACCGCAUAACGUCGCAAGACCAAAGAGGGGGACCUUCGGGCCUCUUGCCAUCAGAUGUGCCCAGAUGGGAUUAGCUAGUAGGUGGGGUAACGGCUCACCUAGGCGACGAUCCCUAGCUGGUCUGAGAGGAGGACCAGCCACACUGGAACUGAGACACGGUCCAGACUCCUACGGGAGGCAGCAGUGGGGAAUACUGCACAAUGGGCGCAAGCCUGAUGCAGCCAUGCCGCGUGUAUGAAGAAGGCCUUCGGGUUGUAAAUUACUUUCAGCGGGGAGGAAGGCGAUAAGGUUAAUAACCUUGUCGAUUGACGUUACCCGCAGAAGAAGCACCGGCUAACUCCGUGCCAGCCGCCGCAGUAA
rnacentral:rRNA from 1 species